rnacentral:rRNA from 1 species
CCUACGGGGGGCAGCAGUGGGGAAUUUUGGACAAUGGGGGCAACCCUGAUCCAGCCAUGCCGCGUGAGUGAAGAAGGCCUUCGGGUUGUAAAGCUCUUUCGGCCGGGAAGAAAUCGUGCGGGCUAAUACCCUGUAUGGAUGACGGUACCGGAAGAAGAAGCACCGGCUAACUACGUGCCAGCAGCCGCGGUAAUACGUAGGGUGCUUGCGUUAAUCGGAAUUACUGGGCGCAAUUCGUGCGCAGGGGGGUGAAAGCCCCUGGCUUAACCUGGGAACUGCGUUUGUGACUGCGAGACUUGAGUGCGGCAGAGGGGGGUGGAAUUCCACGUGUAGCAGUGAAAUGCGUAGAGAUGUGGAGGAACACCGAUGGCGAAGGCAGCCCCCUGGGUCGACACUGACGCUCAUGCACGAAAGCGUGGGGAGCAAACAGGAUUAGAUACCCCUGUAGUC